UGGGGAAUAUUGCACAAUGGAGGGAACUCUGAUGCAGCGACGCCGCGUGAGUGAUGAAGGAAUUCGUUUCGUAAAACUCUGUUCUAUGGGAAGAAAAGGACUGUACCAUAGGAGAAAGCUCCGGCUAAAUACGUGCCAGCAGCCGCGGUAAUACGUAUGGAGCGAGCGUUGUCCGGAAUUAUUGGGCGUAAAGGGUGCGCAGGCGGCUUUACAAGUUGGAUGUGAAAUAUUGUGGCUCAACCACAAACGUGCAUCCAAAACUGCAAAGCUUGAGUUAAGGAGAGGUAAGUGGAAUUCCUUGUGUAGCGGUGGAAUGCGUAGAUAUCAGGAGGAAUACCGGUGGCGAAGGCGACUUACUGGACUUAAACUGACGCUCAGGCACGAAAGCGUGGGGAGCAAACAGG
rnacentral:rRNA from 1 species